rnacentral:misc_RNA from 1 species
UGACAAUAUAUCGACAGACGAAAUUAAGUUUCUUUUCUUUCAACAACUCGUACAAGGAAGUUGUUCAUUUUGUGUAUUUCGCGUUUCGUGUCAAAAACUAAAGACUUAAACAUGCGUUACGUGGCUGCAUAUUUGUUGGCGGUUCUUGGAGGAAAGGAUAGUCCCGCCAUCGCUGACCUGGAGAAAAUUCUUAGUUCUGUUGGUGUUGAAGUCGAUUCGGAACGUUUGACGAAAGUCAUCAAAGAGCUCAGCGGUAAAAGUAUUGAAGAAUUGGUUAAGGAGGGGCGUGAGAAGCUUUCUACUAUGCCCGUUGGUAGUGCUGCAGUUGCCUCUCCGGCUCCUGGUGCUACUGCUCCUACAGGUUCCGGCGACAAAAAGGAAUCUAAGAAGGAGGAAAAGAAAGAGGAAUCUGAGUCUGAGGACGACGACAUGGGUUUCGCUCUCUUUGAAUAAGCAAAAAAAAUUGUUUAAAAUUGUGUAUAUUGAGUGAAACAGUUAUGAUUCGUCCAAAUUAUUCCAAGAUUUAAUAAAGAGCGUACGCUAAAAAGAACAUCUCUCCGAAUUAAAUUGAAUCAAUGGGUAAACCAAUAUCCUUGGAAUAUACGUAUGCAGUGUUUUACUUAAUGUACUACAUAAUUUUGCAAUAAAACUUUAAAGAGCUAUCCUA